rnacentral:rRNA from 1 species
UACAGAGGUCUCGAGCGUUGUUCGGAUUCAUUGGGCGUAAAGGGUGCGUAGGUGGCGCCGUAAGUCGGGUGUGAAAUUUCGGAGCUUAACUCCGAAACUGCAUUCGAUACUGCGGUGCUUGAGGACUGGAGAGGAGACUGGAAUUCAUGGUGUAGCAGUGAAAUGCGUAGAGAUCAUGAGGAAGACCAGUGGCGAAGGCGGGUCUCUGGGCCGGUACUGACGCUGAGGAGCGAAAGCGUGGGUAGCAAACAGG